UCAGUACGGGAGGCAGCAGUGAGGAAUAUUGGUCAAUGGGCGAGAGCCUGAACCAGCCAAGUAGCGUGCAGGAAGACGGCCCUAUGGGUUGUAAACUGCUUUUGUAUGGGGAUAAAGUUAGGGACGUGUCCCUAUUUGCAGGUACCAUACGAAUAAGGACCGGCUAAUUCCGUGCCAGCAGCCGCGGUAAUCUGA
rnacentral:rRNA from 1 species